UACAGAGGUCUCAAGCGUUGUUCGGAUUCAUUGGGCGUAAAGGGUGCGUAGGCGGCGCGGUAAGUCGGGUGUGAAAUCUUGGAGCUUAACUCCGAAACUGCAUUCGAUACUGUCGUGCUUGAGGACUGGAGAGGAGACUGGAAUUUACGGUGUAGCAGUGAAAUGCGUAGAGAUCGUAAGGAAGACCAGUGGCGAAGGCGGGUCUCUGGACAGUUCCUGACACUGAGGCACGAAGGCCAGGGGAGCAAACGGG
rnacentral:rRNA from 1 species